rnacentral:rRNA from 1 species
AUUGAACGCUGGCGGCAGGCCUAACACAUGCAAGUCGAGCGGAUGAAGGGAGCUUGCUCCUGGAUUCAGCGGCGGACGGGUGAGUAAUGCCUAGGAAUCUGCCUGGUAGUGGGGGAUAACGUCCGGAAACGGGCGCUAAUACCGCAUACGUCCUGAGGGAGAAAGUGGGGGAUCUUCGGACCUCACGCUAUCUGAUGAGCCUAGGUCGGAUUAGCUAGUUGGUGGGGUAAAGGCCUACCAAGGCGACGAUCCGUAACUGGUCUGAGAGGAUGAUCAGUCACACUGGAACUGAGACACGGUCCAGACUCCUACGGGAGGCAGCAGUGGGGAAUAUUGGGCAAUGGGCGAAAGCCUGAUCCAGCCAUGCCGCGUGUGUUAAGAAAGUCUUCGGAUUGUAAAGCGCUGUAGGUUGGGAGGAAGGGCAGUAAGUUAAUACCUUGCUGUUUUGACGUUACCAGCAGAAUAAGCACCGGCUAACUUCGUG